rnacentral:rRNA from 1 species
GUCGCAAGACCAAAGUGGGGGACCUUCGGGCCUCAUGCCAUCAGAUGUGCCCAGAUGGGAUUAGCUAGUAGGUGGGGUAACGGCUCACCUAGGCGACGAUCCCUAGCUGGUCUGAGAGGAUGACCAGCCACACUGGAACUGAGACACGGUCCAGACUCCUACGGGAGGCAGCAGUGGGGAAUAUUGCACAAUGGGCGCAAGCCUGAUGCAGCCAUGCCGCGUGUGUGAAGAAGGCCUUCGGGUUGUAAAGCACUUUCAGCGGGGAGGAAGGCGAUAAGGUUAAUAACCUUGUCGAUUGACGUUACCCGCAGAAGAAGCACCGGCUAACUCCGUGCCAGCAGCCGCGGUAAUACGGAGGGUGCAAGCGUUAAUCGGAAUUACUGGGCGUAAAGCGCACGCAGGCGGUCUGUCAAGUCGGAUGUGAAAUCCCCGGGCUCAACCUGGGAACUGCAUUCGAAACUGGCAGGCUAGAGUCUUGUAGAGGGGGGUAGAAUUCCAGGUGUAGCGGUGAAAUGCGUAGAGAUCUGGAGGAAUACCGGUGGCGAAGGCGGCCCCCUGGACAAAGACUGACGCUCAGGUGCGAAAGCGUGGGGAGCAAACAGGAUUAGAUACCCUGGUAGUCCACGCCGUAAACGAUGUCGAUUUGGAGGUUGUGCCCUUGAGGCGUGGCUUCCGGAGCUAACGCGUUAAAUCGACCGCCUGGGGAGUACGGCCGCAAGGUUAAAACUCAAAUGAAUUGACGGGGGCCCGCACAAGCGGUGGAGCAUGUGGUUUAAUUCGAUGCAACGCGAAGAACCUUACCUGGUCUUGACAUCCACAGAACUUUCCAGAGAUGGAUUGGUGCCUUCGGGAACUGUGAGACAGGUGCUGCAUGGCUGUCGUCAGCUCGUGUUGUGAAAUGUUGGGUUAAGUCCCGCAACGAGCGCAACCCUUAUCCUUUGUUGCCAGCGGUCCGGCCGGGAACUCAAAGGAGACUGCCAGUGAUAAACUGGAGGAAGGUGGGGAUGACGUCAAGUCAUCAUGGCCCUUACGACCAGGGCUACACACGUGCUACAAUGGCAUAUACAAAGAGAAGCGACCUCGCGAGAGCAAGCGGACCUCAUAAAGUAUGUCGUAGUCCGGAUUGGAGUCUGCAACUCGACUCCAUGAAGUCGGAAUCGCUAGUAAUCGUAGAUCAGAAUGCUACGGUGAAUACGUUCCCGGGCCUUGUACACACCGCCCGUCACACCAUGGGAGUGGGUUGCAAAAGAAGUAGGUAGCUUAACCUUCGGGAGGGCGCUUACCACUUUGUGAUUCAUGACUGGGGUGAAGUCGUAACAAGGUAACCGUAGGGGAACCUGCGGUUGGAUCACCUCCUUA